UACGGUGGGGGCGAGCGUUAUUCGGAAUUAUUGGGCGUAAAGGGCGCGUAGGCGGCUGUACAAGUCAAAGGUGAAAUCCCUCGGCUCAACUGAGGAACUGCCUUUGAAACUGUACGGCUUGAGGCCGGGAGGGGGUAGGCGGAAUUCCCAGUGUAGCGGUGAAAUGCGUAGAUACUGGGAGGAACACCAGUGGCGAAGGCGGCUACCUGGACCGGUUCUGACGCUGAGGCGCGAAAGCGUGGGUAGCAAACAGG
rnacentral:rRNA from 1 species